GCCCAAAAAGUGAAACGCUUCAAACGGUGGCCUAGAAACUCAAAAAGCUAGACGAAAAGAAAAAUUUGAGCA
ensembl:ncRNA C17D12.17 ncRNA